AGACAAAGCCAAAUGUUUAAUCACAGCACAAUGUCAACAGAUUUUUAAGUACUCUUCUCUGCUUCCAUCUUACAAAAAAAAAAAACAAGAACGGCGCCUGCGCGCUCACCUGUAACCAAUUGUGACAGGAAGCCGGUCCGCGCCAUUUUGCAGUGAAGCCAGGCGCCGGGCUCGUCCCGGAGCCCACUGUGAAUGCCCCCCUGUUCACCAGCCCCCGGGAAGUUUAAGAUUGUUUGGAAGGAGUCAAGCUUUGGUUUCAUGUCCCUUCUCUGCGACAAAAGAAGUCAUGGGGCAGAGCUGUUUCCAGCCUUC
rnacentral:lncRNA from 1 species